rnacentral:rRNA from 1 species
AGUUCGAUCCUGGCUCAGAUUGAACGCUGGCAGGAUGCUUUACACAUGCAAGUCGAACGGCAGCACGGACUUCGGUCUGGUGGCGAAAGGUGGCGAACAGGUGAGUAAUGUAUCGGAACGUGCCUAGUAGCGGGGGAUAACUACGCGAAAGCGUAGCUAAUACCGCAUACGCCCUUCGGGGAAAGCAGGGGACCUUCGGGCCUCGCACUAUUAGAGCGGCCGAUAUCGGAUUAGCUAGUUGGUGGGGUAACGGCUCACAAGGCGACGAUCCGUAGCUGGUUUGAGAGGACGACCAGCCACACUGGGACUGGGAACUGGCCCCCGGGCUCACCACGGGAGGCAGCAGUGGAGGAAUUUUGGACAAUGGGGAAACCCUGAUCCAGCCAUCCCGCGUGUGUGAUGAAGGCCUUCGGGUUGUAAAAAGCACUUUUGGCAGGAAAGAAACGGCACGGGAUAAUACCCCGUGCAACUGACGGUACCUGCAGAAUAAGCACCGGCUAACUACGUGCCAGCAGCCGCCGCGGUAAUACGUAGGGUGCAAGCGUUAAUCGGAAUUACUGGGCAGCAAGCGUGCGCAGGCAGUUCGGAAAAGAAAGAUGUGAAAUCCCAGAGCUUAACUUUUGGAACUGCAUUUUUAACUACCGAGCUAGAGUGUGUCAGAGAGUGGAAUUCCGCGAUAACGAUGGAAAUGCGUAGAUAUGCGGAGGAACACCGAUGGCGAAGGCAGCCUCCUGGGAUAGCUUGCUGACGCUCAUGCACGAAAGCGUGGGGAGCAAACAGGAUUAGAUACCCUGGUAGUCCACGCCUAAGCGAUGUCAACUAGCUGUUGGGUGCUUCAGGCCUUAGUAGCGCAGCUAACGCGUGAAGGUGACCGCACAAGUACGGUCGCAAGAUUAAAACUCAAAGGAAUUGACGGGGACCACUGGCUUGAUGGAUGAUGGUUAAUUCGAUGCAACGCGAAAACCCAGCACCUACCCAUAACGUGUCUGGAGUCCCGAAGAUUUUACGGAGUGCUCGCAAGAGAGCAGAACACGGGUACUGCAUGGCUAUCGUCAGCUCGUGUCGUGAGAUGUUGGGUUAAGUCCGCAACAGCGAGCGCAACCCUUGUCAUUGGUUACUACGAAAAGGCACUCGUGAGACUGCCGGUGACAAACCGGAGGAAGGUGGGGAUGACGUCAAGUCCUCAUGGCCCAUAUGGGUAGGGCUUCACACGUCAUACAAUGGUCAGGCAGAGGUCGCCAGCCCGCGAGAGGGAGCCAAUCCCAGAAACCCGAUCGUAGUCCGGAUCGCAGUCUGCAACUCGACUGCGUGAAGUCCAGGUCGCGUGUAAUCGCGGAUCGGCAUGUCGCGGUGAAUACGUCCAGGUCUGCCACCGCCCGUCACCAUGCGAGUGGUUUUACCAGAAGCCAGUUAGCUAACCGUAAGGAGGGCGAAUUCACCACGGUAAGUUCAUAUGACUGGGGUAAGUCAGCAACUCGGUGGCCCUAUUACUACGAUGCCA